GACGAGGGGUCCUAGCGUUGUCCGGAAUUAUUGGGCGUAAAGAGCUCGUAGGCGGUGUGUCGCGUCGGCCGUGAAAACCUGCAGCUUAACUGUGGGCUUGCGGUCGAUACGGGCAUCACUGGAGUUCGGCAGGGGAGACUGGAAUUCCUGGUGUAGCGGUGAAAUGCGCAGAUAUCAGGAGGAACACCGGUGGCGAAGGCGGGUCUCUGGGCCGAUACUGACGCUGAGGAGCGAAAGCGUGGGAGCGAACAGG
rnacentral:rRNA from 1 species